UACGGAGGGUGCGAGCGUUGUCCGGAAUCACUGGGCGUAAAGGGCGCGUAGGCGGCGCGGGGAGUCAACGGUGAAAGCUCGGCGCUCAACGCCGAGUCGGCCGUCGAUACUCCCGUGCUUGAGCACUGUAGAGGCAGGUGGAAUUCCGGGUGUAGCGGUGGAAUGCGUAGAGAUCCGGAAGAACACCGGUGGCGAAGGCGGUCUGCUGGGCCAAGACUGACGCUGAGGCGCGACAGCGUGGGGAGCAAACAGG
rnacentral:rRNA from 1 species